AUCAGGAAAUUGGUUCUGACAGUAUGCCUGAAACUUUAUCAAUGUGGAUGAAACUGGCAGGUUCAGAGAACAAAUUGCAAGAAUUGUUUAAUUUGGGCCAAGAGUGACAUACUAGGAAGGGAUGUGAUCAAAUUAACAUCAGAUGUUCCUGUGGGAUACAUUGUCUUGAAGGAUUUUUCGACUGGUAAAACGAGCAAGUUACUGAGGAUGAAAGAUGCCACAGUUGCUGGUGUUUACCAUCCUUUGAUUGAUGAGAGGCUUGUGAGAAUCUUGCAUGGAGGGUGUAAUGGCAAAUAAAUUAUGGGGUGUAGGUGGCUUCGCCGUCAUAGUAUAGGAGGUGUAUCUGCAAUUUAACCCUAACAAGAAUUUACACAAAGCAUUGUGCAAACACUGCUUAACGGAGUAUCUGGUGCAAAUAGGAAGGGCAAGAAAGUCUAUGCUUGGACAGUUGAUGAUGCUGGCUCCAUGCAGAGGUUGUUGUUUGAACAUGUUGAUGCCAUUGUUACCGGUCAUCCUUCUGAGCUUCAGCGCAUAAUGGCAGAUAUGAAAACAGAAUGUCUCGAGGAUGGCUAUUCUUUACCUUGACAAGGGCACGCAUUGACAUUCAAUUGCUAAAUCGAUGGCUAUUCUUUACCUUGACAAGGGCACGCGUUGACAUUCAAUUGUUAAAUCGAUGGCUAUUCUUUACCUUGACAAGGGCACGCGUUGACUUCAAUUGCUAAAUCGACCAACUUUAGGUUGGGAUGAUGC